UACGUAGGGGGCAAGCGUUGUCCGGAUUUAUUGGGCGUAAAGAGCGUGUAGGCGGCCGUACAGGUCAGCUGUGAAAACUCGAGGCUCAACCUCGAGACGUCGGUUGAAACCGUACGGCUAGAGUCCGGAAGAGGAGAGUGGAAUUCCUGGUGUAGCGGUGAAAUGCGCAGAUAUCAGGAAGAACACCCGUGGCGAAGGCGGCUCUCUGGGACGGUACUGACGCUGAGACGCGAAAGCGUGGGGAGCGAACAGG
rnacentral:rRNA from 1 species